CGUGCGGACGCCGCCGUUGUUCGACGGGCUGCCCGACAUCAACCACUGCGGGGCGCAAAGUUCGCCUCCAUCCGGGGAAAGUCCCCACCCGAGAGAAAACGCUUGAAAAACACGCGUGGAGGACUCGAGUCAAGUUACGGUUUCUACCGGGACGAAACGCUUCAACCCAAAAUGGCCGACUUCCUGUGUCUUUUUGAACAUGUCUACCAAAUGUCUGGUUGUCAAGCGGAAGUGGCUUCAGAUGGGUGCAACGGUAACGGCAACGGCAACGGUAACGGCAACGGCAACGGCAGGCCCGCUUCUCACAUUCCCCGAGCACGCCGGAGCCGACGUGCGGGAAUGCGGCCGGAAUCUCUCACAAGUCCCAAAUCCGGAUUUCUAAUCUUCCCAGGGUUCGCUCGUGGCGCGUUGUGAGACGUUGUUUUGUACAAUUAUUACAUAAUAAAGUGCCCAAAAAAAAAAAAAAAGUAAGAAUAUGUAAUUAUUUUUGUGUUUUAUGUUUAUUACAUUGAAUUACAAUAGUAAAUGUUUUGUUUUUUUUCCCAAAAAUAAAAAACAACUAAUAUUUGAACUAAUUAAUAUUGCUCUAAUACAUACAAUUAAUAUGUUAAUGGUGUCAAAUAAUGACAAUAUUAUCACUGGUAAAUUUAGUCAAGCAGCAUAUUUUGCCUGCCACUCAAAUACAAAACGUAUUAUGUAAAUUGAAUCCAAAUCAUGAAUUAUGUAUCACCCAAUGAAAAGCAUUUAGCGUCCCACACAAAGUAUUUUUCUCCUUCAGCAAAAUCAAAAUGGAAGUAGGUGCUAUCCAAAAGUCAACACAAGCACAUCCUGUGCUGGGAAGCUCCCACUACGAGCCCCCUCCCCCCCCGGCCUGCGCGAGGCGGGGUGUCGACGGACGGAUCCACAUCAAAGCCCCUCCAAAACAACACCCCACCCUCGCUCACCGGCGAUAGCGCCGGCCGGGGCAUUCGGGCCCUGGGGGGCGGUGGGGGCACGGCCCCCUGACAACCCCGGACAGCUGAGUGGGCUCAGGCUGCAAACUCCGGCGCUGUAA